AGAGAGAGAGAGAGAGAAAUGGAACAAGAACAAGAACAGCAGCUCGCCAGAUGGGAUGGCUAUGUGGACUGGGGGAACAGGCCUGCACUCAGAGGCAGCCACGGUGGCAUGCUCGCCGCCUCCUUCGUAUUGGUUGUGGAGAUAUUGGAAAACCUGGCAUAUCUGGCAAAUGCAAGCAACUUGGUGAUGUAUCUAUCAGAGUACAUGCACUUAUCUCCAUCUAGAUCGGCCAAUAAUGUCACGAAUUUCAUGGGAACUGCUUUUCUUUUGGCUCUUCUUGGAGGUUUUCUAUCAGAUGCUUUUUUCACAACUUAUCGCAUCUACCUGAUAAGUGCGGCCAUCGAAUUUCUGGGGCUGGUGAUACUCACUGUGCAAGCUCGCUCUCCUUCGCUGAAACCACCGUCGUGCAACCCAGCCAACCCCAACAUUCCAUGCCAAGAAGUGGAUGGUGCAAAGGCUGCAAUGCUGUUUUUAGGGCUCUAUCUGGUGGCGCUUGGUGUUGGAGGGAUAAAGGGCUCGCUGCCAGCUCAUGGGGCAGAGCAAUUUGACGAGAGCACACCGAAAGGAAGGAAGCAGAGAUCAACCUUCUUCAAUUACUUUGUCUUCUGUCUUUCAUGUGGAGGCCUAAUUGCUGUCACGUUUGUUGUGUGGAUUGAAGAUAACAAAGGAUGGGAGUGGGGAUUUGGAAUCUCUACAAUUGCCAUAUUUUUGUCUAUCCUUGUCUUUCUCGCUGGCUCAGCCACUUACAGGAAUAAGAUUCCUUGUGGAAGUCCCCUCACAACUAUUUUCAAGGUUUCUAGCCAGAGAUUCCCAUGGCCUUUCUAGCCGCCAUGUUGAACUGCUACACAAAGUUCCAUUAUUUUUUCUUUUCAAGUAAUUGAUCGCUUAAUGGUUUUUGAUUAAACAGGUUUUGAUUGCUGCUGCAAUUAACACUUCCAUAAGAAAAACUCCAAGCAAUGCCGUAGCAAACCUGAAUGCAAGCCCUUUCAGUCCAACCCAAGGCGGCCAGGAAUCAGAGGAAAAUUCCAAAGACAUGGCACCCAGUACUGAAACUGCAACAAAAAGCUUCAGCUGUCUUAACAGAGCAGUGGUGAAAAGGCCAGUCCACUCAGCGCUAGAAUGCACGAUACAGCAAGUCGAGGAAGUUAAGAUUGUGAUAAAAAUCCUACCUAUAUUUGCUUGCACCAUCAUGCUCAAUUGCUGUCUAGCUCAACUCUCCACAUUUUCUGUACAACAAGCUGCUACCAUGAACGCCAAGCUUGGUUCCUUGAAAAUACCCCCAGCUUCCCUUCCAUUUUUCCCUGUAGUCUUCAUCAUGGUCCUAGCGCCAAUUUACGACCAUUUCAUCAUCCCAUUCGCUAGGAAAGUGACUAAAUCUGAAAUGGGCAUCACUCAUCUACAAAGAAUUGGCAUUGGUUUAGUUCUUUCUAUAAUAGCAAUGGGAGUUGCAGCUCUCGUCGAAAUCAAGAGGAAGAGAGUUGCUACAAAUUCAGGGCUGCUAGACUCGACUGAUCCAUUGCCCAUCACAUUAUUCUGGAUUGCUUUCCAGUACUUGUUCUUGGGAUCAGCAGAUCUUUUCACCUUGGCAGGGUUGUUGGAAUUUUUCUUUACGGAGGCACCCACGGGGAUGAGAUCCUUAGCAACGUCUCUUUCUUGGGCCUCCUUGGCCACUGGAUACUUCCUGAGUUCAGUAAUUGUAUCAAUAGUAAACAAUAUUACAGGAAACUCCACAAACCGACCAUGGCUCUCUGGCAACAACAUAAAUCACUAUCACCUGGAACGAUUCUACUGGCUGAUGUGUGUGCUAAGUGCUGUGAAUUUCUUGCAUUUCCUUGUCUGGGCCAACUGGUACAAAUAUAGAUCAACAAGAGGUAACUAGCAAAAUCAAAUUACGUAUUCGAUAUAGCAGAAUGCCCUGUAUAAACCAGAUGAAAUGGUUGCGCUAAGCGACCCUUGGCUGUAUAUGAGAUGAAUUGCUGGAUUCAUUGCCGGCCAAUGCAUGGGGGGUAUCAGAUAGUAGGAGAUUAAGGCAGUGCCAGUUUCAGAGGAAGGGUUUAGAGUAAUUUUACCCUGUAAUCACUGUUUUUCAGCUAGUUCAUUUUGUUUAAGGAAAACUGAUCAAGUGAUUCCCAUCGAGUGAUAACAAAUUCUAAAAUUAGCAA
rnacentral:misc_RNA from 1 species